rnacentral:rRNA from 1 species
GACGAACGCUGGCGGCGUGCUUAACACAUGCAAGUCGAACGAUGAAGUUCCUUCGGGAAUGGAUUAGUGGCGAACGGGUGAGGAACACGUGAGAAACCUGCCUUUCAUUUUGGGAUAACUCCGGGAAACCGGGGCUAAAACCGAAUACUCCGUCUCGGCGGCAUCGCUGAGCCGGGAAAAAAUUUUGAUGAAAGAUGGUCUCGCGGCGUAUCAGCUAGUUGGUGAGGUAAUGGCUCACCAAGGCAACGACGGGUAGCCGGCCUGAGAGGGCGACCGGCGACACUGGGAAAGAGACACGGCGCAGACUCCUACGGGAGGCAGGAGUGGGGAAUAUUAGGCACUGGGCGCAAGCCUGACCCAGCGACGCCGCGUGAGGGAGGGAGGCCUUCAGGUUGUAAACCUCUUUCAGUAGGGAAGAAGCGAAAGUGACGGUACCUAAAGAGGAAGCACCGGCUAACUAUGUGCCAGCAGCCGCCGUAA